UAGGGAAUCUUCCACAAUGGACGCAAGUCUGAUGGAGCAACGCCGCGUGAGUGAAGAAGGUUUUCGGAUCGUAAAGCUCUGUUGUUGGUGAAGCAGGAUAGAGGUAGUAACUGGCCUUUAUUUGACGGUAAUCAACCAGAAAGUCACGGCUAACUACGUGCCAGCAGCCGCGGUAAUACGAAGGUGGCAAGCGUUGUCCGGAUUUAUUGGGUGUAAAGCGAGCGCAGGCGGAAGAAUAAGUCUGAUGUUAAAGCCCUCGGCUUAACCAAGGAACUGCAUCGGAAACUGUUUUUCUUGAGUGCAGAAGAGGAAAGUGGAAUUCCAUGUGUAGCGGUGGAAUGCGUAGAUAUAUGGAAGAACACCAGUGGCGAAGGCGGCUCUCUGGUCUGCAACUGACGCUGAGGCUCGAAAGCAUGGGUAGCGAACAGG
rnacentral:rRNA from 1 species